rnacentral:lncRNA from 1 species
AGAAAACAUAAUUCUCAUGGUUUGAUUAUUACAGAAGUCUCUUAAGGUUUAUAUGAAAUUUAAAAUUUUUGGUUUUUAUGUUUGUACUUAAACUUAGGGACACUUAAUCAGUAAACUGCAUCCUCAGAUUUUUUUUUUCAUUUUUACUUAGAGAGAGAGUCUGCUAAGUUGUUUAGGGCUUCACCAAGUUAUGGAGCCUGGCUUUUAACUUGCAAAGCUUCUCACAUCCCUAGGGUCACAGGCAUGGACCACCAUGCCCAUUUUACAGAGCAUUUUUAAUUAUAUUUGCAUUAUGGAUGCAAUUUGUUACUAAAUAAAGUAUGAAUUUCUUAAUGUUAACCUUGACAUGCAUUUAAUGAUGUUAUUAGGUCACACAUCUCCCACUAUUCACUUUGCUAAUGCAUCAAAUAUAGCAAAACAUUCUAUUGGGUAAAUAAUGCUAUAACGUCUCCCUUAAUUAUUUCAUAUAAUUAAUCAAGUUUUAUUUGGGGAAUAUUAUUUAUGUGAAUUACAUAUUCUUUUGUUUGUAAUUAUGCCAAAAUUAAGUUACAGGAAGGACCUAGGAAUACUAAAAUGAUGCCCAGAUAUCCCUAGUUUGAAUUACAACUUUAACAUUUCACCUUAUAGAGUUGCAGUACUCCCUAAGGGAUCUACAACUCUGGAGAGUUGCACAAGCUCCCAAUCAGGGAGAGGAGAAAGACCCAAGAGACUAGGAGCCAAUGUGCAUAUUCAGGUAAAAGGAGGGUUACUGAAGGGGAAGUAGUCUCAAUGUUUCCCAGGGAAACCACGUGGUCCACAGGCCCAUCCUGACUCUUGAACUGAAGAAACCAUGCAGUUCCUCAUGAAUUCCAUGACGUUCAUCACUGAGGAGACUAGACUGACCUCAAUUGUAGGAAGAACAUCCCAAUAUAGGACCACCUCUUUAGUCUUGGAUACCCAGUAGAAAAGUGUAACCAGAAACAUGUAAAAUGAUGACUGUAAAAAGAAAAAGACACACUAUAGGAGCAUUUAUGCCCCCACAUUUUUAAUUUCAUUAUAUAGUUUGAUUUUGUAGACCUUUUUCAUUCUACUUAAUAACUUGCAAUAUAAGGUUUGUUAUACUUAUUGGAUUAUAUGAUAGAUAGCAUGUGUCAUGGUCUCCCAGACCCCUCUGCAACCAGUAAUUAUAAGAUACUAUAAACUAACCCUGUCCCUCCUCAGAUCUUACAGCUCCAGGAGCCCAUGACACCACAGAGAGAGAGAAACACAAUUUUGAUUGAAAUAAACCUCUAGACUCUCAUCUACAAGUCCUGUUCAAAAAGUAAAAACACAAUAUUCUCUUCAUAUGUGAGCCCUUAGGGUCAACAAAAUACCACCCACAAACAUUUCAUUUAACUUUAUUUGGGAAAAUAAAUAUUGAAAUAUAAUGAUAAGUUCUAGGAGAAUAAUAUUCACACUAUUUUUUAUUCCAAAGGGUAACUCUCUAGGUUUCAUGCUUAUCUCCACUCCAUGUUAUUUUACACAGAAAAUUGGCUUCAUUUUACAUAUGAGUUUUAACUAUUUAUUAGGCCAGGAGGGAAGAUUCAGUACUAGAGGUCUAAGGAAAAUACUAAAGAUCCUCCCUUUCCAUGUGCCUGCAUGAGUCUGCUUAUCCUUGAUGAUACAGCUCAAGAUUGCCGAUUUCUCAAAGCAUCUGGCUCGGUGGCUCACUCAUUGGAACCCCAAUUUAAUUACUCAUCUCAAGGUUAUCACUCCCUCCUCUGGGAUCUGACCUGUUGAAGGAGGACCUAGUGUUCUUCAUGGGAUCACUAGGUCAUGCAAGCUGUUAGAACAAGGAAAGCUUCAUUCUAACUUGUAUUGAUUCAGCCCCAAUUUAAAUACAAGUUAGAACAAGACUUCAGACUCUCUCCUGUGGAGAGGAUACUCUGCCCAGGACGUCCCAGUCAGGACCCUGAAAAGCUGUUUGGGACUCCCCAGUACGUAGGUUCAGUGUUGGGGUUUUCCUAGUCUGGCAAUACAGUUGCCUGUGUCUGUUACUUUUUCUUUCUCUGUUGCUUUCAUAGUAUUACUCAAAGAAACACUGUCUGGUGUGAAGAGAGUGUCUUCCUUAUCUAUUGGACCUGACCUGCGAAGUUGAGCAGCUGCCCACAUACGUAAUGUCACAAACACAUGUAUGUGUUAUCUAAUCAGUAACUAGUGUAUCUUUCAACUACAUGAUUUUUUUAUUGCAUGGGGGAGGAAAUUGAGAAUGCUUUCUUUGAGUACACAGCACUAUUAAUAGUAUCCAUAACACUGCUAUGUAAUAUUUCCUCUCUGCUCAAAUUGUAAGUAUUGUUCUUGUGCUGCUUUGUAAA